UACGUAGGGUCCGAGCGUUGUCCGGAAUUAUUGGGCGUAAAGGGCUCGUAGGCGGUCCGUCGCGUCGGGAGUGAAACUCGGAGCUUAACUCCGAGCCUGCUUCCGAUACGGGCAGACUAGAGGUAUGCAGGGAGAACGGAAUUCCUGGUGUAGCGGUGAAAUGCGUAGAUAUCAAGAGGAACACCUGCGGCGAAGGCGGGUGCUGGCCGACACUGACGCUGAGGCGCGAAGC
rnacentral:rRNA from 1 species